UACGGAGGGUGCAAGCGUUAUCCGGAUUCACUGGGUUUAAAGGGUGCGUAGGAGGGUAGGUAAGUCAGUGGUGAAAUCCCCGAGCUUAACUUGGGAACUGCCGUUGAUACUAUCUAUCUUGAAUAUCGUGGAGGUGAGCGGAAUAUGUCAUGUAGCGGUGAAAUGCUUAGAUAUGACAUAGAACACCAAUUGCGAAGGCAGCUUACUACACAGUUAUUGACACUGAGGCACGAAAGCGUGGGGAUCAAACAGG
rnacentral:rRNA from 1 species